rnacentral:rRNA from 1 species
UACGUAGGGGGCGAGCGUUGUCCGGAAUUACUGGGCGUAAAGGGUACGUAGGCGGCUAUAUAAGUCAGGUGUGAAAUACCAGUGCUUAACACUGGAAUUGCAUUUGAAACUGUGUAGCUUGAGUGCAGGAGAGGAAAGUGGAAUUCCUAGUGUAGCGGUGAAAUGCGUAGAGAUUAGGAGGAACACCAGUGGCGAAGGCGACUUUCUGGACUGUAACUGACGCUGAGGUACGAAAGCGUGGGUAGCGAACAGGAUUAGAUACCCUGGUAGUCCACGCCGUAAACGAUGGAUACUAGGUGUAGGGGGUAUCGACCCCCCCUGUGCCGGAGUUAACGCAAUAAGUAUCCCGCCUGGGGAGUACGGUCGCAAGACUGAA